GCCAAAAAACGUCCCCAAAUUUGUUCCCUUUUUUCUCUAAAACCCCUUCUCUUCCUUCUUCCUCUGCAACUCUCUGUUUCCUUCCAAGCUUCAAUUUCUCCUCCUCCAACACUCCCUUCUUCCGAUUCCAUUUCUUCCUUUCAACAGUACCCACUACCUAAUUUCCCCUUUCACUCUCAUUCCGCCCUUCCAUUUCCCUUUUCUCUGCAUUCCCUCCACCCUCUCGCUCCUCAACCUUCCUCUCCUUCCAUUUCUUCCGCUCCUACUUUCCUGGCUCCAAUUGGGUUUUCUUCUCCUGCUUCUGGGGGUUCUUUUUUGGGCAUCCGGAGGUCUUUGUUGCUGAUUUCACUUUCCGGAUCUUUCUUCUUUUGCUUGCUUGCUCUCUAGGGAUUUCUACUGUUCGUUUUUGUGAUUUGUACCACGGCCUAGUUUCGUUGCUUCUGUACUGGAAUGAAUAGUGUGUUCAGUGAGCAAAUACUUGCUGAUAAGCUGUCGAAGCUCAAUAGCACGCAGCAGUGUAUUGAAACUUUGUCACAUUGGUGUAUAUUUCAUAGAGGCAAGGCUGAACUGGUAGUUGCAACAUGGGAUAAACAGUUUCAUAAUUCAGAAAUGAUUCAGAAAGUUCCUCUUUUGUAUCUUGCAAAUGACAUCUUACAAAACAGUAAGCGUAAGGGAAAUGAAUUCGUCACUGAGUUCUGGAAGGUUCUUCCAGCAGCGCUCAAGAACGUCCUUGAGAACGGCGAUAACCAUGGAAAAACUGUAAUUUCCAGAUUGGUUGAUAUAUGGGAACAAAGAAAGGUAUUUGGAUCUCGCACACGAAGCCUCAAAGAUGUAAUACUUGGGGAAGAGGCACCUCCACCUCUAGAGUUCAGUAAAAAACGUACUCGAUCAGUCAGAAUUGUCAAAAGAGAUUCACGGUCGAUUAGAACGAAAUUGUGUAUUGGAAGUGCAGCCGAAAAAAUUGUAUCGGCAUUUCACCUGGUCCUAAGUGAAUAUGCUAAUGAAGAAACCGAGAUGACCAACUGUAAUUCUGCGGUUCAACGUGUAAGGAAGAUGGAAAGCGACGUUGAUUUUGCUUGUUCCACGGCAAAGAAUCCCCAACGUAAAAAGUUGGCCAAAGAACUUGAAGAGGAAGAAAGUAUUCUGAAACAGUGUAUCGAGAAACUACAAUCGGGUGAAGCCAGUCGGAUGGCGCUUAUAUCUCAGUUAAAAGAAGCUCUGCACGUUCAGGAAUCGGAGCUGGAGAAUAUUCGAACUCAGAUGCAGGUAGCUCAGGCGCAGGCAGAGGAGGCUAGAAAUAUGCAAAACCGGCUAAAUGAUGAAGGCUAUGUAUCAAAAUCUUCCACCAGUGAUUCAAAAGCAAAAGCAGGACAGACUCCUAAGAAGUCUGCUGCAGCCAUUGCCGCAGAGGUUGCUGACAAGCUCGCAGCUUCUAGCUCCUCUCAAAUGAUCAUGACAUCAGUUCUCUCCACAUUCGCAGCUGAAGAGGCAAAGAACACUGGUCUAACAAAGACCAACAAUGGACUGACCGUGUUCACACAGAAUCCCAUGAGUUCCCCUGCUAAUUCUAUCUUAAAACCUGAGGCUGAAGACGCAAAGAACACUGGUCUAACAAAGACCAACAAUGGAUUGAAUUCGUUUGCACCGAAGCCCAUGAGUUCUUCCAACUCUAUCUUAAAACCUGAAGCCUUGGCCAUUGGUUCAGAUCCUAAUGUUUUCAUGUCUAUGCAGCCGCAUCCUGCUCCCACUAACCAUUCAUAUCAAUCUGUUAUGGUGCCCCAACCAACGAUACAGAGCCAAGCCCAUAAUUCGCAAGCUCAAUACCAGAUGUUUCCAAACGCUCCUUCCCAGCAAUAUUUGCAGCUCUCAAAUGGUGUCUUAACCCCAUAUGGUUAUGGUAGUCUUCCAAGCUCAACUCCGAUGCCACCACCACCUAUGCCCCAUAUGGUUAGUCCGGUGGUGCCCUUGACCCAGCAGAUGCUGCAACAGCCAUCACCUAUGAUACAAACACAACAAGUUCCUUUCACGCAGCAACCUUUAGCACCUAGCUUCCGACCGCUUCAGCCGCCUGGGAUGGUGUACUAUGGGCAUCCUCCCCCUUCUCAGUGAUAAUUUUGUGCUAAAGGUCAAGUUUUAGACGUACCACACCAGUCGUUGCACGUAGAUUUCUGAAUGUACGAACCUGCAAAUGAAGCAAGAGCUAAAUCAUAUUGAGCUGUGGUGGUUCCAUAUGGUUCAGCUCAAUUUUAUGAGUUGAAAUCGACGACAAACCAUUGUACUGG